GGCUCAAUGGUCUAGUAGUAUGAUUCUCGCUUCGGGUGCGAGAGGUCCCGGGUUCAAUUCCCGGUUGAGCCC